rnacentral:rRNA from 1 species
GGGGAGCAGCCCAGAGCCUGAAUCAGUGUGUGUGUUAGUGGAAGCGUCUGGAAAGGCGCGCGAUACAGGGUGACAGCCCCGUACACAAAAAUGCACAUGCUGUGAGCUCGAUGAGUAGGGCGGGACACGUGGUAUCCUGUCUGAAUAUGGGGGGACCAUCCUCCAAGGCUAAAUACUCCUGACUGACCGAUAGUGAACCAGUACCGUGAGGGAAAGGCGAAAAGAACCCCGGCGAGGGGAGUGAAAAAGAACCUGAAACCGUGUACGUACAAGCAGUGGGAGCACGCUUAGGCGUGUGACUGCGUACCUUUUGUAUAAUGGGUCAGCGACUUAUAUUCUGU